rnacentral:lncRNA from 1 species
AAAAAAAAAAGAAGGAACGAAAGACAAGAACCAAUCCACAAUUACACAGAGGGGGAAAAAUAAAAACCGAAAGAGACAAUAGUACAAAAACAGCAAAUUAAUAGGUAGGAAAAUGCUCAAAAGUUGUAGACACAAGAGCCAUCGUCACUUCUAGCCGUUGGAUCAAAGUUUUUGGCCGAAGGAUCAGUACACCCUUCAGGAACUGGCAGAUUCACUUGCUGUGCACUUUUCCCUGCAAGGCAAGUUACAAUAAACUUCAGAAACCCUAGUUUCAUUUUCCCUCUUCCUUUCUUUCAUCCCUUUCUCUUCUAUCUUUUCACAUCAUCACACCAAUUUGAGAGACAAUCCGUUGGCUAACCAAACAACAAAAAAAACGAAAACAAAGGAGUCUCAAACCUCGGGUUCUAACCGUAGAAAGUUCCGCGGUCGAUAGCGUCCGCGUUUGCGUCUCCCAACGCAGCCUCGUUAAGGUAUUGGUCAGCAAGUUGGACUCUCUUGACGUUCUCUUGUUCCAUCACAAGCAUGUUUCCAUACUCCAUAAGCUUCUCAAGAGUCAUCUCCGGUUGCUCGAACACUGGAGGUCCUUCCCUCGAGUUCACCAGCCUCUUUCCGAUCUUCUCAACUCCAAGUCCCUCAACGAACUUCCUCACUUCAUCAUCGUACACUCUCGCCCUCAAUGCACCGAAGAAAUCUGUCCAUACAAAGCAUAUAACUUCUCAGAAUCUGCACCAACUUAUAUGCAAGUUCUUUAAAGAAAAAGUCUUUCUUUUUUAUUACCGAUGGAUUGGCCAGGGAACUGAUCAACAAGCGUGACAAUGUCUUCAUCAUUGAUCUUGUCGGUCCUGAAGAUACCCUUGCAGACACCAAUACGGUCUUCACGGGUCGGUGCCCAGUAGAAUUUCUCCAUACGUCCGUCACGGAUGAGAGGAGCGUAGAGAGUGGAGAAAUCGUUACCGGUGACGAUGAUUGGGACACGUGCGUUGUCUUCCUUGUUGUACAUCCCUGGAAGCUGGACGUUGGUCGGGUUAUCAGCAAUGUUCAUGAGCGUUGCGUUGACCAUCUGGUUGUUCACUGUGUACUGAGUAGUGCCUCCCAUACGACCAGCACCAGCGUCAAGAUCGUUGAUGAAGAGACAACACAUCUUUCCUUUCUUGAUCAUGUCUGCUGCUUCACGGUACCUUUGACGGAUCAGCUUUGCUGGUUCUCCUGCGUUUCCACUCUCAAGCUCUCCAGCACUCAUCAUGAUUGGGCUGCGAAAAGAUUUGAACUUUUUUAGAUUUUGGUUGGUUAUAUGAGAGUGAAAUGGGAACUGGAGAACGGAAAAUGGACUCACUUGAUACCCAUCUUGGCCAUGACAAGCUCACAUUGGAAGGAUUUACCUUGACCUUUGCCUCCCCAGAUACCCAAAAUAAGUGGAACCUGUCAAAAACAGAGCAUUUUCAAGAUUAAUAAAGUUGGAACCUUUCGUGUGUAACUAAUAACUCAAAAGAAAAUGCCUCUAAAUCAAUAAUACCUUGAUGUUAGGCAAAGUCAAGAAGUUCUUGGUGAUGUGAACAACAAGCUUGUCCAUGAAAGCAGGAGCAAUGUAAAACCCAUCCAUCAUGUUGUCCAAGUUGUACCUAUUUUAAACAAGAAACUCGAUGUUAAAAACCCACAGAUUCUAACUCUAUUUGGAACUGAUGAGAGAUUUAGAGAGAUAAAAGACUUACUGCCUAAGACCUUGGCUGAUGUAUUCGUAGGAGCUGAGGACAGCAUGGUGAGUUCCGGUUCCCAUAGGAGCUUGGAAGACAGAGUCAACCAAACCUUUGCCUCUGGUGAUGUCUUGUUGAUCAUCAGACAUGUCGUAGGCAAGUCCCUUCCAUCUGUCUCCAUCGGUUUGUUUGUCUUCUUUCACAGCAACCACCUUGAAUGAUCCGCUGCUCUUCUUGUUGCUCUGUGCGAAUCUCGACGUCGUUACAACUUUCUUUCCCAAGAAGGUUGUCGCUGGGACUGAAGCAGCUCCUGCUCCUGACCCGUUUAAGCUCAACUGCAACACACACAGAGGCCAAGCUCAAUUCAAAUUUGAUUCGCAUGGUUCAAGAGCCGGUUUAGAGAGUAGAGACUAAAGAUCAAUAUAAACUAAAUCCAUUCGAACCAAACUAAACCGAAAUGAUCUGAAAAUUAGACCCAAAUUUAGUUUGGUUCUCAUAGAUCAUGAUCAUAGAAUCAUAGACUAUAUCACUGAAGAUUAAAGGGUGUUCAAGCUAAAUCUAUUUAUCUGAACCAAACCAAAAUAAUCUGAAAAACUGAACCAAGAUUUAUUUCGUUUGACCUUGUUUGACUUUCUUUAUACACAGAAUCCUCCAAUAAUUUCCGAACCUCCAAUUCGAUUACUAUAGUUUCUAAACCAAACCGGUUUAAAGAAAUCUACCAAUUUAUAGUUCCCAAGUAGAGGAUAAGAGAAGCAUCAAAGAAUCUCUAGUUUAGUUCCAGAUUCUGACGACAUAUGUAAGACAGAGAAUUUCAAAGUGAUACUGAAUUAUGAAAAAUCAAAACUACUCAAGUGGAUAGUGUUAAAAGUAACAUUAAAUCAUAAUAAGAAGUGAAAGGGAGAUGAAGAAGAAGAAGUUGAUUACCGGAGCUCUGUUGAUGGCACCAACGGUGGAAACUGCGGCGGCCAUUUCUCACGACUGCGACGAGUGUGCGUCACACAAGAAGCUGAGGAGAGAUUUUGAUUAGUUGAAGAAGAAGAAGCAGUGAGAGAUGAUGGUGUGGGCAAGAAUUAAAGAGAUUUAUAAAGCGAGUGAUCAUCAACAAUUCGUUAUCUCUUCGUAUUCGAAGCUCAACUCUCUGAUCGCCACACGAUCCGGAUUGGCCAAUGCGCCACGUGGCUUGACAAGGAAGCCGAUGAGGAGGACUCUGUUGUGAUUGGUCCACGUGGAACGUGUUUUUAUGAGGUUGUCGUGAAUUGGCUCAUCUGUGCCAUUGGAUUUGUUUUUGACGCCUUAGCUUCGAGGGAAGAUUAUAACGUUGGUUAUUACCACAUAUGCUUUCAAAAAUUAUUGUGUUGCUUUUUUUUUUUGUGAGGAUGAGAUAGCCAUUCAUAUGUGAUCAAGAAACUUCUACAGAAUUCUUCAUACAGUAAAGCUCCAAAUAUUAGAUAAUGACAUUACUACUUAGUGAUAAUGUUGUUCUAAAUAAUCGGUGUAAACUGAUUGGCCGAGAGAAAUUUGCCUAGAGCCAAUAGUGUAGAUUUCUUAUUCUAUCAUUAAACCAAAUGUAUACCAUACAUCAUUGUUUACAAAACCAUAUGGUUUACAAACUAACCAUUGUUCAACUAACCGCUAACAUCUAAACUAAUUAUUAUUUAUUUUAUCUAUAAUAUACUUAAGUUAAAAUUUGGAAUAAAUGUUCAAAAUACACAUUUUUUCAAGUAGAAUGUUGAACAAUCCUGGCAUAGAGGCGUCUUAUCACAUAUUUUUAGUUGAAAAUGUGUGUUUCGUUCUCUUGUAGAAUGAUAAGAUUGCUUGCAAUGUGUAUAUGUAGACUGUAGUUGUUGUGCAUCCUAAUAAACAUUUGUAUGCAAGACUAGAAAACAAACAUUAAAGAAUGAGACUAAGUUGAGUUUUUGGAAUACGUUUAGAUACGAUAUUGAAUAAUCAAACGAUUGCUAACCUAUGUGGAUAGUGGACCGACUCGUUUACCAAAAAAAAAAAAAAAUGUGGACCGACUCUCACAUUGUAAGAUCAACUCCAAUGAGCUGAUUUUAGAAGAAGUUCUUCAUAUUAUAUGUAUAAAAAAUAAUAAUUAAAUAUUAUAGAGGCUUUUAAAAUAGGAGAGAGGGUAUCCAAAAUCUCUUGUUUCAGAACCUCUUUUUAUGUAUUUAAAGAUUUUUCUCUUUAUUUUGUACAUGAUUUCAUUUUAUAUUAUUGUUUUGAGAACUCUUACACUGUUUUCAAUAACCCAUGGUUGGAGAUGGUCUAAGAAUAUAUGGUUGUUUUUUUGAUAAGUGAUAUGAUUAGGACUUAGGAGCAUAAGCUGCAGUUCUGAAAGUUAAGAUGAAAACAAAAUAAAUAAAAUCCCAAUAUUUUUCCUUUUCAAGAUUUUAUUUUCGCACAUUUACUCUAAAAUAAGCAUCUUAACCACUACACUACAGUACACUUUCUCUACCUAACAGAUAAAGAUGAAACAGUCCUAAAUAAAUCUCUUAUUAGUCCAUGAUUGAUUAAAUUGAUUAGGCGCUAGAUAUCCUUCUCUAAUGCCCAAUUAACGCCUUAUAUAAUAAUUUGAACAUAGGCUUUACAUAUUGACUCAUGCAUCUAAAAGUUAUGUAAUACUUUCACAUAUUUUUAAAAGAAACUUAGAUCAAUAACCAAGAUUUUGCCACAACUUACAUAUACUUGCAACCUAGAAUGUAAUCAUUGGGUCUUAUGUAUUGAAGAUUGAAGCUUAUAUUUGGGUAAGAUUAUAUCGCUUGUUGAUGCCUAGACUAAUGAAUCUCAUAUAUAUUUCUAAGCAUGAUGAUAUUCAUUUUAUAAGAAAAGUCAAAUCAAUUAUAUAGUUGAUGUCUGAGCUCUCAAUAGAUUUAUUGUGCUACAAGGUCUCAAAUGUCAUGCAAUUGUGUGGCGAUGGAAGAACUUAGCAAGAUGAGAUUUGGAACUUUAUUUUACAUAAUUUGUUGCCAAUAUGGACUCAUAAAACAAAAUUACAUUUCGAACAUCAAGGAACUAUCAAGAAUCAAAUUCUAAGUGGUCGAAAAGGAAGUGAACUGAUAGUAGAGAGGUUUUGCAAUGAAGAAGGUAUAUCCAAGCGACCAGCUCUAAGCUGUCGAUAGCCACAACUGCAAACAUAUCGGAGGGCUAGAGAAGGGUUUGUGUCUUUGUAGCUAGCUGGAGGAUGUUUAGUGAAUUCAUAGAAUUGAUGGCAGUGAUGAUUAGUGGCAACCGACCUGAAUUUUUGUCUAUUGAGCCUUGAAUAUCUCUGUGACCAAACUAGAAGAACAUGGUGCCUUUGGAUUUUUGGUCACUACCAAUUGGUUCUAAGAUUGAUCAGCUGAAAUGGAAAUUGAAGAAAAGGUGAUUUAUGCUUUCAAGCGACUAGUUACAGAAAAGACAGUGUGUAAUAGUAUUUAACCCCUAACCAAUGAUCCGAGGUUCCGAGCCUUAGUAGCGACUGUGUUUGCUUUGUUUAUAACUUAUAGCACCCACAAAAUCUUGUUGUGUUUUUUUUAACAAAAUUUUGUUGUUGGUUUUUUAACAAUAAAAUUUUAAAAUCUUUCUAUUACUUAUAUGAAAUCUCCAGUUUCCAUCAUUUACGUAAUCGACCGAAACAUAUGUCAUCCUGUUUCUUUCGUUUGAUUUCUUUCAAUUCAUCUCAUUCAAUAACUUUUCUGUAAUUGGAUAAUUUAAUCAUAUUAUUGACCAGUUAAAAAAUGGUCACAUCAUUUCACUCAGUAACAUAAAGACGAAAUGAGUCUUAAAAGAAAACGAACUUCAUUUAAUUUUAGCAAAAAAAAAAAAAAGCGAGUUUAGGUAAUAAUAAAAAAAAGCAUACAUACGAAUUUCUUUCUUUGUUCGCGUUUUUACAAAUACUAAACCUUCCGUAGGAGGAGACUUUUCAUUGUCUCAGUGUAUAUGCUGCGAUCGCAUAAAACUUAUCAAAGAGAAAUCUCAGUACGGAUUUGCUAAUUUGGUGAUGGAGUAGUAGAAAAGCCCUAGAUCGGAAUUCGAUUCUGGGUUCUAAGGAACAAGGUUUCUGCUACUCCCUCCAAGAAUUUCACUGCUCGGAAGAGAGAUUUUCGUAAGUUUCUUUGUUUGUUUUUCCCACUGAUUAGGGUUUAUUCUUAAGAAUUUCCUGCUUCGUUUAUCACCUCUUUUAUCUUAUUUGAGCCCAGUGGAUUCGAAAACUCAUGUUAUGCUGAUUCGUUUUUUUAUUCAGAGUUUUAGAAUGUUUUGAGUAGAGUAUUCACAGUUCUAAUGAUACCAAGAAUGUGGGCUUUGGGGUAUCUGAAGAAUCUUGCUUUUUGGUUUUAGUGAAAAAGGUUGUUACUUUGGAGUAGUAAGCUAGCAAGCUAUAAAAAAAAUGGAGCCUUGACGAUUGUUUUAUAGAGAAUUGGUUAAACCCAGUGCUUUUAGAUUUAAUUUUGAUUGGAGUCUCGUGAAGUCUUUGUGUUAUUUUUGCCUAACGUUUUCUUUGACAUAACUUGGGAUUUGGGAAUGUGUGUUCUUGUAGAAGAUGAGUAGGAACCCUGUCUUUGAUCCUACCCUUCAAGAUAUUCUUCAAGCGAUUAAACCCACAGGAGCAGAUUGGGAUGCGAGGAUGACCGUCAUUGAUCAGUUGCGUAGUGCAUUACAAUCCGUAGAAAGCUUAAGAGGUGAUGACCCUUGAUACACUUUUGUGCUUCUCCCAUUUUUCUUACUGUAUAGUACUGCCUUGAACCAUAUAUGGCCAUGGGUGUGAUAUUAAGAUUGGAAAUGAAAAGGAAGAACUUGCUGAUAGUUCAUUUUCUGGUUUGAUAUUGUUAGGUGCGACUGUUCAACCAUUUGGAUCCUUUGUGUCAAAUCUCUUCACACGAUGGGGAGACUUAGAUAUCUCUGUUGACUUAUUCAGCGGUUCGUCCAUCUUGUUCACUGGAAAGAAGCAGAAGCAGACUUUCCUUGGACAGUUACUUCGAGCACUGAGAGCGUCAGGUGAUUCAAGUAGCUUUUGCUUCACGGGGUUCCCCUUAAAUCACUUAAGUUUUCUACCAGUUUCAGUAUUUUCCAUGGCGAUUUUGUCUGAUGUCCAUUAUCAUGCAAAAACCAGGUGCAUGGUACAGGCUGCAAUUUGUUGCUCAUGCGCGAGUUCCCAUUCUGAAAGUCGUGAGCGGCCACCAGAGAAUUUCUUGUGACAUUUCAAUUGAUAAUCUGGAAGGGCUCUUGAAGAGCAGGUUCUUGUUCUGGAUCAGUGAGAUAGAUUGGAGAUUCCGUGACUUGGUUUUGCUAGUAAGUUAAGAUGCUAAUAAAACCAGAUUGUGUGUUUCCAAAGGUUUAACUGAUUCUAGACAUAUCUACCUCGUUUAUAGGUGAAGGAAUGGGCCAAAGCUCAUGAUAUCAACAACCCAAAGAACGGGACUUUCAACUCUUACUCACUUAGUUUGUUAGUCAUCUUUCAUCUGCAGGUAAGCUAACAGCUCUAUGUUCAUAGAUUCCGCUGCAUUUGCCACAUACUGCAUCAUUAUAAAACAUGGUGUUUUAAUAAUUUGUUGUUUGAUGCAGACAUGUGUGCCUGCAAUCUUGCCGCCUCUAGGAGACAUAUAUCCGAGGAGUGCGGUUGAUGAUCUGAAAGGUACUUUUUAUGAAUAGGUUCUCAAGCCAAACCACAUAAACUUAUGAGGUUUUGUGAUACAGUAGCGGCAUGGUCUCUUGUAGGUGUGCGAAAAACUGCAGGAGGAUAGCAUAGCGCAACUUUCUGCUGCUAAUAUAGCGAGAUUUAGAUCAGGCACAUCAAGAGCAGUCAAUCGAAGCUCGCUCUCUGAGCUUUUGGUCUCGUUUUUUGCAAAGGUAAUUGAUUUCUCACACAGUAUGGGAGCUUAGACUUUCUGUCUCUCUUUCUGUAUCUAGUCUUGGUGGAAAUUAGUUUUUGAAUUUUUUUUUGUGUGGCUGUAUUUAUCAGUUUUCAGACAUAAACGUAAAGGCCAAAGAACUUGGUGUUUGUCCGUUUACUGGAAGAUGGGAAAACAUAAGCAGUAACACUAGAUGGCUGCCAAAGACAUACUCACUCUUUGUAAGACUCUUUCUCUCACCCUUCCAUUUUAUGGCUGAAACACACAACAACACUUGAAUCUUCCUGACUGAAGUGUGCAAAAUAAAUGGUGUGUGUUUUAGGUUGAAGAUCCUUUUGAGCAACCUGAGAACGCAGCAAGGAGUGUGAGCCGUAAAAGCUUGGACAGAAUUGCACAAGUAUUUGAGAUGACAUCUCGCCGUCUUGCCACAGAUUGUAACAGAAACUCCAUCGUUGGGGUUCUGACAUCGCCACACAUUUCACAGCCGUUGUGUAGUAGAACAAGCCUCCAUAAUCAUCAUCAUGCAAACGGUGUGAACAAUGGCCAUAAUCUGCAUGGUCAGUCUAGGCCAUGGAACCACCAAAUGCAGCAACAUUGGUCACAGAGCAACUAUGUCCAGAAUCCGCCAUAUUGGCCAGCCUCAGCACGGUCCCGAGCGCAGCAGAAUUGGUCUCAGAACAACCCCAGGAAUAUGCAGGGACAAACACCUGUUCAAGGCCAAACUCGGCCUGUCAUUACACAAACUCAAACGCAGCAGAAGAGUCAAUAUAAGAACGGGAAACAACCAAUGAGAAAUACACAUGCAGGUUCGAGUCAGAAUCAGGGUCACAUUGGUAGGCCCCCAGGUCAAAGUAAUGGUGUGAACUUUGCGAGACCAGCACAAAUAAGUCAAAGUCAACGCGGACAGAUGUGGAGGCCAAGAUCUUGAAUAGUAGAAUGACUUGUGAAGAAGACCUAGAGACAUUCCUUCCCAUAGUUUUGGACGAUAUUAUUGUACUCAGACCAUGGAGAAAGUCGUAACCUUUUUUAAAUAAUCAUCAGAUUUGCAAUUGCCUAAUUGUUUUUUACUAAAAGCCGAGGACUAGGUAAAACUUUACUCAGUAAAACACCACAAUCAAAUUUACAGUUACAUAAUGAGGGAAAAAAAACAAAUAAAGAGAUGUAACCAAACAAUAUAUUUUGUGUCGACUAAAUGCAGUAGUAAUUUGUCUGGUAUUAAGCUCGAAGAAGUCGCUUCUCGCAUGUUAGAAUCCUGUAACUUGCGUGAGGACCCUCGGAUGUGUCACGCAGAGACGUAUGCCAACCCAUAGCCUUUGUGAUCUCUUGAAUUUCAUCCAUAACAUCUAUUGAAUCCCUAAUGUAUGCUCUUCCUCCCGGUCUCAAUAUCCGGUCCAUCUCUAACAAUAUGGUUGACAUCUCGCAUCUGAUAUAACCACAGAAAUCCAUGAAACAUGUUAACCAUUUUUCAGCAUUAUAACUCAUGUACAAAAGUAGAAUGAUCUUGAGUGAAUCCCGUAUUGUCAAUCAUCAAUUGUGGACAUGAGUUUAUCACUUUGAAAUUGAGUUACAGACACGGCUUACCUUUUUCUUUCGAUUGAGAAGAGCCCUGAGGCAUGUAAGAAGUCAUAUGUCCUCGGGUAAGUAUCAAAUGGUUCACACCUGAGAGGUAGAAUGCACGACUUAUUAAAUAGCUCGAGCCAGAACCUAAAUCUUAGUUUAACUUGAAUGCACGACUUCCUAGAUAGCCGGGAGCCAGACAGAUGAAUAUAUGUUCUUAAAUCAAAUAUGAGCAGGAAAAGAACAGCCUCUUAAGAGCUUACUAAAUUUCCAGAACUUACUAAACACAUUCUAUGUUUUUAUUUGAUAGAUUGUAAGGAGAAAAGUUAGUACCAAUCGUGCAUCACUCCUAGUAGUCCACGAUCAUAAAUGACAGGCAACGUAUUGGGCCCGCUGACAGGAACCACGCUGAGAACCCAGCAAUCAAGUUUAUGAUCAUUUAGUGCAGCUGCAAAUCUACCAAAAAACCAAAGAAAUCAAACAAAGAGAGGUAAGCUAAGAAACUAAGUCAUAGUACUUAACAGUAAAAAUAUCAUUUCAUACCCGCCAAAGCCUGCUCUCAUGUCCAAAACGUUUCUUAGUUUCAUCUUUUUCCAUUUUAAGGCACGGAUAUAACCCCCUAUUAUUUCAUUCCAGAAUUUUGACUCUGCCUUGAAUAGCUCUUUCCUAGCAAUGUAGGAAUCAAAUGUUAUCGUCUGCAGCCUAUCAGGUGGAGUGUGGAGACGGGCAGGCCAUAAAGGAACAAUGCCUCCAUAUCCAUUCUCAGGUAUGCGACUGAUACAAGGUUUCAGGUUUGUGUACCUAAAGCAAGAACAAAACAAUAUGAGACAAAGAAAGUGUGAGUUUUUGCACACAAUGUCACAGACCAAGUCUAUAAGCAGGUUUGACUCUAUACGCAGAUUUUUGAUGCAACUCUAGCAGCAUUAAAGUAUAUAUAGCCUUUAUUAUUUUGUUGGUAUGCUUCCAGAUGCAGGUAGCAAGCUAUGUCCUUGUAUCACAAACAAAGAAAGACAAAAAAAGUUAAGCAGCUGUACCAAACAUUAUCGGGGUCAUCAGAUUCAUCACAAAGAGGAGGUUUGGUUCCAGCCUCACGACUUAAAUAACAGUCGUUGUUGAGAGGCUUCUGCCAGAUUGCAAUGUAUCCUUCCUUCUUUAUCAGCUUCCAGCAAAGGCUAUUAGUAAGAUUCAGCAUCUCUGGAAAGCAAAACAUGAGAGUUAAAAGAGUACAAAUAUUGGCUAAAUAGAAGUAGUAAAUGGAAGCAAAAAACUCCCUAUACACACAGAGACAAAAUAUGUAUAAUUCAGAAAAGAGUUAUUAAUUCAACAUAUUCCUCAUUCUCUCUAACAAAGCUACGUGCCAUGAUCACUAACUCCAAACAGAUUAAACGGGUGUACCUGUCCACUGUUCUUCCAAAGCGGCUUCAUGCUUAUAAACAGGCUGUGCAGCCCAAGCAAAAUAUCCUCCAGCGCGCAGCAUUCUAUUGAUCUCAAGGAGCAAAAUUCCAUCUUUAUCACAAGAAUGAAAAAGUAGAAUGAGAAUUUUCUCCACAAGUAAAAGAAGUUAAACUGUCGUUCACCAUAGAGACUUAAAAACUACAGUAGGUGCGCGACCUAAAUAUUUUUCUGCUGAAUUACGUAAAGAACCAAUCACAUCAGAGAACCUUACCAUCACGAGUCCAGUUGAUUCUACAUCUUGAACAAUGAAUAAUAUCAAAAGCUUGGCUUGGAUACAACAAACGCCUUGUAGCAAAUGCUGCCGCCAUAGCAGGCACACCACGCUCAAGAGCAAAUUGAAUUUGGUUCUCGUGGACAUCUUUUGGCGCAACAGACAUUGUCAAAACAUCGCGUGUCAAUAGAUAAGCGCCAAAACUCGCCACACCACAACCAACAUCCAGAGCAACCCGAAUACGCUUGCCAAACUUAAUAUCAGAAACCAUCUGCACACACAAAGUCAAAGUUCAACAUCAGACGAAAAGAUAAACAGAUAGAUGACGUGAAGCAAGAACUACUACUACUACUUGAAAAUGAGCAACCUUAGAGAUUUGGUCCAAGUACUGGUCAGCACCAUGAAUAAACUGUGUACCACCACCAGGAAACUUGAACUUGUUCUUGUCUCGUGGGUCUCGUGAAAUCCAGUUCUGACCGCCUUUGUCUUCAACAAGCCGAGUAUGAGGAACAUUGCUGAACCAAACCUAUCCGUACAAAAAAUCAUCUUAAACUUACGCAAAUCAAUUCCAAACACUAUUUAAGACAUAUUCUCUGAUUCUUCCAGCUAAAAUGUAAAAAAAUUCUACUGGAGCUUUAGUCAAAAUGUCACUGAAACCAAUAGUGAAGCAUAAACUCAACAAAGUAGUACCUCGUCACGGCUUUUAGGCCAUGGAAUCGGCUGACGGUAACCUUUAGGAGGUGGAACCAAGCAAUUUAAGCCUUUACCUUUCUCAGGGCAAUAACGCUCGAAUCGUUCCCCUCGUUCAGUAGAUUUGAGCUUCUUAAUCGCAUCGGUGUUAUCCAAACAAGGUAUAUACUCUCUCAUGCUCUCAGGACACAUCCCGAAUUUCUUAAUUCUAACCCUAACCUUAGAAUCGCCGUCCUUUUUCCCUUCCACGAUCUCCGUCUUGUUCCCCCAAUCUUCCACAGAGUCGUUCUCAAUCUCUCCCACCUCGAAAUCGUCAGACAUCACGCCGUUUGCAUCCACUAUCCCGAAGCUCCGAAUCGGACCAGGCGGAGGUGGAGAAGGAGGAGGUGGAUGAAGAGAGGGAGGAGGAGGAUUAGCUUCCACUUUAUUAAUCUCCGUCUCGGUGACCACCGACGGAAUCGGCUGCGUUGUGGCGGGGAUUUCAGCCUCGGUGUGAUUAGCAGGAAUUAUGGCGGAUAUAUUGAAGGUCAUGUUACUGUUGGGAGAGAUGGAGACCUCCGGGAUCGAGGUCCCGGAGCUGGUGGCGGAGGA